AUACGGAGGGUGCAAGCGUUAUCCGGAAUCAUUGGGUUUAAAGGGUCCGUAGGCGGGCUAAUAAGUCAGGGGUGAAAUCCCACAGCUUAACUGUGGAACUGCCCUUGAUACUGUUGGUCUUGAGUUACAGUGAAGUGGUUAGAAUGUGUAGUGUAGAGGUGAAAUGCAUAGAGAUUACACAGAAUACCGAUUGCGAAGGCAGAUCACUAACUGUAUACUGACGCUAAUGGACGAAAGCGUGGGGAGCGAACAGGAUUAGAAACCCCUGUAGUCC
rnacentral:rRNA from 1 species